rnacentral:ncRNA from 1 species
CAGACUGCAUUUGUCUUUUGCCGAAGCUCAGACUCUGGCACAGGAUAGGGAACGUUGGAAGCACUGUCUGGCGCGUCUGCCUCCGCGACCCGAAAGGAGAAGCGGCGAUGAAAGAUGAAGAAGAAGAUGAUCGAAAGGGAAUCCGGUUAAUAUUCCGGAAGCGAGACAUGGAGAAUCGCCCGUCGUUAGCGGUGAGACGAUGUGCGGUGACGCAAGCGCACUCAAAGAAUGGCUGGUGAUAGUUCCGGGAAGAGUUUUUUUCUUUUCAAGGGACGGACACCCUAGAAAUGGUUAAUUCGGAGAUAGGAUCGUUGUUCCCACAAAGCGUCACGUCUGCCGGGGCAUAUGGAGUGCUGUCGUCGGUUCAUAAAAAUUUGAGGAAGGCAAAAUUCUCAUGCUCGGUCGUACUCAUCCGCAGCAGGUCUCCUAGGUGAAUUGCCUCUAGUCGAUUGAAGAAUGUAGGUAAGGAAAGUCGGCAAAUCAGAUCCGUAACUUCGGAAAAAGGAUUGGCUCUAAGAAUUUGGACUGGCAGGCUGAUGCGCGAAGCGCAUGUGGACGUGCUGCUGGUUUGAUCGAUGGUUCCGGCGCAAGUUGGUAUCGGAGAUCGAUCCGGACGCGCGACCGAUGCGUGGACCGUGUCAGCUGACGGUUCGAUAUGAAAGUGUUGUGCAUUU